CCGAACCGACUAAUGUUGAAAAAUUAGCGGAUGACCUGUGGCUGGGGGUGAAAGGCCAAUCAAACCGGGAGAUAGCUGGUUCUCCCCGAAAGCUAUUUAGGUAGCGCCUCGUGAAUUCAUCUCCGGGGGUAGAGCACUGUUUCGGCUAGGGGGCCAUCCCGGCUUACCAACCCGAUGCAAACUGCGAAUACCGGAGAAUGUUAUCACGGGAGACACACGGCGGGUGCUAACGUCCGUCGUGAAGAGGGAAACAACCCAGACCGCCAGCUAAGGUCCCAAAGUCAUGGUUAAGUGGGAAACGAUGUGGGAAGGCCCAGACAGCCAGGAUGUUGGCUUAGAAGCAGCCAUCAUUUAAAGAAAGCGUAAUAGCUCACUGGUCGAGUCGGCCUGCGCGGAAGAUGUAACGGGGCUAAACCAUGCACCGAAGCUGCGGCAGCGACACUGUGUGUUGUUGGGUAGGGGAGCGUUCUGUAAGCCUGUGAAGGUG
rnacentral:rRNA from 3 species